GAUGAACGCUAGCGGCAGGCCUAACACAUGCAAGUCGAGGGAGGAGCUUUCGGGCUUCGACCGGCGUACGGGUGCGUAACGCGUAUACAAUCUGCCUUUCACAUAGGGAUAGCCCGAAGAAAUUUGGAUUAAUACCUAAUGGUAUAUAGGAGUGGCAUCACAUUUAUAUUAAAGCUGAGGCGGUGAAAGAUGAGUAUGCGUUCUAUUAGCUAGUUGGAGAGGUAACGGCUCCCCAAGGCGACGAUAGAUAGGGGUUCUGAGAGGGAUAUCCCCCACACUGGUACUGAGAUACGGACCAGACUCCUACGGGAGGCAGCAGUGAGGAAUAUUGGACAAUGGUCGGAAGACUGAUCCAGCCAUGCCGCGUGCAGGAUGACGGCCUUAUGGGUUGUAAACUGCUUUUGCAGGGGAAGAAUAAGGACUACGAGUAGUUUGAUGACGGUACUCUGCGAAUAAGCAUCGGCUAACUCCGUG
rnacentral:rRNA from 1 species